UACAGAGGGGGCAAGCGUUGUUCGGAAUUACUGGGCGUAAAGGGCGCGUAGGCGGCCUGUUAAGUCGAACGUGAAAUCCCCGGGCUCAACCCGGGAACUGCGUCCGAUACUGGCAGGCUUGAAUCCGGGAGAGGGAUGCGGAGUUCCAGGUGUAGCGGUGAAAUGCGUAGAUAUCUGGAGGAACACCGGUGGCGAAGGCAGGUCACUGGGCCGCAACUGACGCUGAGGAGCGAAAGCAUGGGGAGCGAACAGG
rnacentral:rRNA from 1 species